rnacentral:rRNA from 1 species
UACGUAGGUGGCAAGCGUUUGUCCAGAAUUAUUGGGCGUAAAGCGCGCGCAGGCGGUCCUUUAAGUCUGAUGUGAAAGCCCACGGCUCAACCGUGGAGGGUCAUUGGAAACUGGGGGACUUGAGUACAGAAGAGGAAAGCGGAAUUCCACGUGUAGCGGUGAAAUGCGUAGAGAUGUGGAGGAACACCAGUGGCGAAGGCGGCUUUCUGGUCUGUAACUGACGCUGAGGCGCGAAAGCGUGGGGAGCAAACAGG